rnacentral:rRNA from 1 species
UACGUAGGGGGCAAGCGUUGUCCGGAAUCAUUGGGCGUAAAGCGCGUGUAGGCGGCUCGAUAAGUCUGCUGUGAAAGUCCAGGCUCAACCCUGGAAUGCCGGUGGAAACUGUCGAGCUAGAGUCCGGAAGAGGCGAGUGGAAUUCCUGGUGUAGCGGUGAAAUGCGCAGAUAUCAGGAGGAACACCAAUGGCGAAGGCAGCUCGCUGGGACGGUACUGACGCUGAGACGCGAAAGCGUGGGGGAGCAAACAGG